AAAGUCACGAAAGUAUUUGUUGGACAUUCAGUACAAGGUCUACAUAAAUAAUGAUCUGUCUAUGGGGACUUGCUGUGUGUUUGCGUAGAUGGUGCUGCACCUGCAUGCCUUCAGCUCCGGCUCUUAGGAAUAAAGUGAAGUUGGCAGCAUAACCACAUAGGCUGUCUGUCAUGGUAGUGCUGUGGCAUUGCAUCCUUUGGGGUCUGUAAAGGAAAGCAAAUGGUACAAGGAGGUGCUCGUGUAGCGUCCAACAUCACGGCUUUUUAGGAAGAAAAGCAGAGUGGGGUGCAAAACCCUCAUUUGUGGGUAAGGAAAGGAAACUCUUGAAAGAACUCCAGCAGCUAAUGAAUUAUCUUUCCUUGCUUCUGUCUAGCCAUAUUUGAAUUUUGUAUUAGUUUGAUUAUUCAGGUCAGAUCAGAUUUAGGUCAGUUGCAAUGGAUUUUUUCCAAAUCCAGUUCCCUCAAUUCCUACUGUAAACUCUUACCAGAUGACACGAUGCGAAGCUGGAACAGACUUGAGCUGUGAGAUGACCAAAUAAAAUCUCAGUGGGAACCACUUCCACGUUCCUAAGAUCAGUUUCUCAUGUAAUAAAUUCUGCAUCCAAAAUUAUAUCAAAUACUUUUCUGACAAGAGUUCUUUUUUUUUUUUUCCUAGCAGACAAAUCCCAGCAGAGCUAUUUAUAAGAUGCCUCUCUCUUGUGUUUGCUCUCACAUGCCUGUUAUUCAGACCUACAGUGAAGAACAAAUACAUUUAAAAAUUUCUCAGUGUCCUUGCCAGUGCUCUUGGACCCACCUUGUUUUGUCUCGUCUGAAAUCCUCCAGUACAUUUCUUUGAUAAUUCUUCUGUCAGUAAGAGUUGUCGUAGGAAAUCACCAUUAAAGGCUUCUCCCCAAAGGAACAAUCCGGAUUUAUUUGGUGACAUCUUCUCUUUGCAGACCGUUUCAUGGCCUUGUUCUGCCUGACCCUCUGCUGGCUGUGAGGGAUGGAGAGGAGUCAUUCAAGUGAAUGCCAUGCUCGUGCCAAGUGCCACACUAUAGGAUAAAAUGUGCAAAAUCUUGUACAACAGAGAUAACCGAGAGGGUGAGCACCUGGGUGUGCAUGGUGGUGUCCUUGGGCUUGCAAGGAGGAGGCCAGGCCGUUUGUGAGAGUUCAAACAAAUGCUCUCACAGGAAAAGUUGCUUUAGUUGUUUUUUUUUUAAUAUUAAAUUUACUUCCACCUUUGUUAAAACUGAACGAAAAACCAUCCAGAACUUCUCCCUAGACCAACCUACAGUUUCUUCUCCUGUUACAGCCUUUUCAUUCAUUUCCUGGUAUGUUCAAUGACACCAGACUUCCCUGAGGUGUCUACUGGCACACGUUUCGCAACGUGUCAAUCUCUUCUGCAUUAAAUCAGGCAGAUAAGACCCGUGCCUUCAGUUCUGGCAAGGCCUGGCAUACCUAGGUCACACGAGUAGGGCAGGUUCUUCCCUGUGUGUCUCCUCCCUGGCUGCAAAAGCCAAGUUAAAUCGUCAUCUACCAUUCGUCUGCUUGAUUAGAUGUGUGCUGUGCGUACCUCAAAAUGCGUGAUGCUUUAAAGCUAGAUUUGCUAUUUAAAUAAGAGGUUUGCCUUAAUUGGCUGUUAUAAAUUACAAGCAAGAGGGAAUGAUUUAUUGCUUAUAAUUAGAAAUGAGUUACGAAGGGGAAUGUUGGUAAUCAUAAAAUAAAGCUUGGAAUACAUUGAUUUCCAGAUGGCUGGCAGUGAAACUGCUCUUUAAUGUAGAAUAGACCAGACACAAGGAAAAAAAAUCUGUCAUCUGUCUUUAUUCCUUGAUGGAUUACUUGGAUGAGUCUAUAGUUACCUGAAUUUUGAAAUAUUAGUCUUGGCUGCAUAGUCUGAUGAGAGAAACUUAAUUUGCACAGUGGUAUAUGCUAUCAGAGGCAGUGGAAGUGGUGAGUUAGUGUUAUGCCUAGCAUGAUUUUUGUCCUUGUAAUGUCACCAAGGAAGAUCUAAUGAUAAAUCUGGCAGCACCUUUGGGUAUAACAGUCUCAGCGGAUUGUUCUCAGAGGCUGCAGGUUACUAAGAUGUUUUUCUUUUCAUCUUUUGCCUCAUUAGCAGUUUUUAUGAGGUUGAGAUUGAUCAAAACACCUGUCCAAAAGCAAAUAUUUGUAAUCCUCCCUUUGUGAGUCUAGCAAAUACAUUUGUAUCAGAAAUAAAGACAGCGGUGCUACUGCUGAGAUCUUUUCAGUAAUACGUUUCUGUUGAGAUGAUGUGUUUGUUUGACUUUUUGAAUUUCAUUUCUGCUACUAUAGUCCCAAGCAUGAUUUAAAAAUGAUUUAUGUUUGCCUUAUCUGCUAAUAAUAGUGUUUUCUGCUAUAAUAGAUGCAUUCUGCACUGUUACCAUUUGAAAGACCAUGCUACGAGAUAGUUGGACGUAUUUGGAUUGUCACCACAUGAGUUGUCUCACGCUUGUGUCUUAAAAGUGACAUUGUCAUUAGACUUGCUUAACUGAAACCAUCAUGAUUAAUCAUUUACCUUCAUUAAAAUGCUUCACAGCUUCCUUAUUUUAAAUAGUUUUUCCCAGCAAGGUGCAAAUAUGCCUCGCUGCCAUCGUUUCAUCUGGAAAAAUUUGCCUGGUGAAAGGAAUAGCAUAUUUUCAACUAAUAUUUUCCUGACCUGUGGAGAGAUGAGCUCAUCAGUAUCUUUAUUGACAAGCCCAGGAAGAAGGUGUGUCAACCAGAAAUAUUAGAUCAGUCAGCCUUUCUUGUCCUGGAGCAAUUGUAAUUUCCCAUGGUCUGCAGCAAUUUCCUUUAGAAUCUGAUAUGUGCAGAGAUUGUUUGGAUCUGCUGCUGUAGUGUAAUUUCAUUUGGUCCCAAUAAGGUGGCCUUAGAUUUCAUUCUUUUCAUUUUUGCUGUUGAAAAUCUUUUGUUUUAGUAGAAAGAAUAACAAGUUGCCAUGUUACAGCACCUAAAUGAGGAAUGAGUGCUACAGCUAUGCAGAAGAAUAUUGCCCACUCCGAGGUGGGUUAGUAACAGCAGGUGUUGGUAACCUCCGCUCCUCUUAGAAAAGUCUGAAAUGGAUGUUCAGUUCACUAUACUUGUGAACAAAGUACAAAAUUCUUCUUGAAAACAAAGUUCUUGCUUUUCAAGAGAGAUACAGCAGUGUGUUGGGGAAUGGUGUAGGUGCUUAUUUCUUUGCUGAUAACUGUUUCCUGUAGCCAGUGAUAGGGGUUCUUAUUUUUUUGCUGGUUUACUCCUACGAGUUGUUGGUCCCUAGAUACUUAAGCCUGGGUAUUUGCUAGAAGAGGCCGAUCUCAUUAGCGCUGAGGAUGUUCUCAGUGCCGCAUUGUCUGAUGCCGCGCUGAUGAAAGCGUCGCUCCUCUGAUCCAGCAUUAAAGAGGACUGAGUAGGAAUCAGAAGUGGGAAAAAUUUCUCAUUUCGCUCUAGUUUUUGUUGUCACUUUAGCUUUGCUUUUUUCCCUCCUUAAAAUAGCUCUUUCUGUGGCGUUGCAUGCUCAGAAAUAGCAGGAACACGUUGGCUACCUUGGUGUAGGUGAUGGAGUUCUUGCAGGCGUUGGGCUCAGGCAGUGCUCAGCACACCCUGAUCUUGCUGCCAGGUGCCUGGUUGUGUCUGGUAGGGUUCUUACCCUGCCUCAUUCCCCGUCAGCCUCUUGGUAUGGCUGGCAAUGCUGGGUUAGCCAGCUCCAAAUGAGCUUAGUGUGCGUGAGCUGAGGUCAUUGCAGUGAGGACGUGCCCUAGGUUGGUGUCUCUUGGUCAUUAGCUGAGGUCUCCAUGGCCCUAUCACUAGAAAGAGUGAUUCAGAGAAGCUCCCUGAGGCCUUCGUGCUGCUGAUGAGCUGGGUUGGGCUAAGGGCUGGUCAGCCUGGCUUCCAGAAAGCCAAAAAUAACUCUGUGCCUCACGUUCAGGCACACAUGGUGUCAAGGUGUGAGCAUCAGAGCUGUUAUGUUUUUCUGUAAAGCUGACAUUUCUGUGGCUGUAUCUGAACUUCUUGUGUGUCACGGUGCGCCCUUACACCCCAGUCCCUGUUCUGAAGGCAUCAGGCAGACGUUUGUCAGUGUCACAACCAGCCAUGGCCUUGGCCAUGUGCCUUGGUUUCCCUCCCAGGGGAAGGGAAUGGCUCCUGUCAGCACCCAGCUAGGACUGGGUGCAGAGGACGGUGGGCCUGCAGCUCUAUAUGCAAACCCUGAAGUGCUGUGGGAUUGGUGUUGUGAUUCCAGUCUGCGUUUUGUCUUCUGGAAAAGAGCCGUGGAUCCUGCCCAGGAGGGUCUCUCUUCCCUCUGGUGCUGAUGGUAGAACGAUGUGUCCGUAUCUCCUGCUGCUGCUGUUUCCAAUAAGAGCAUUAAAGCCUCGCAGGGAGGUAAUUCCCAGCUUUCCGAUGUCUGGUAAACUGACUUCCUGAGGCAAAACCAUCUGGCCUCAGGUGGGAGGAGUAUCUCAACCAGCACGAAGAACCUGACCGGUCUCCCGAUGAAUCGUUUCUAAAUAGCUUUUUCUGUCACUGAAGUGGCAUACGUUUGAAAUGCCUGUGGUAUGGUUAUAUAGGUUUUAUACACAUUUGUCUUAGAUGACCUGCAUAAUUAUACCACAGGCUUGUGGCUCUGGCCCCAUUGUAUCUCUGCUUGCCAUCGUAUAUCCUGGGUUUGUCUGCAUAUAAAAUUAGUUGUGUGGUAAGCAGCAAUAAGAUGUUCCCUACUUGGAUGGACUAAAUUAAAAUUCAGUAAGAAACAGAGCUUUGGGUGAGUUUCCAAAUUACUUUCAGGAUUUCACUGAGGAGAUUGUUACAGUAUCAUAAACCUUUUCAGUGGGCACACAGCCUGAUGCGAGUUAGCUGCUUUUAUUGCCUCAUAGUAUUCCUUCUAUGUUAUGUUCUGUGCUGUGUAAUCCUUUGUUAUUAAAUAAUCAGCAAAACAAAAACAGUUGUUUGUCA